rnacentral:rRNA from 1 species
GACGAACGCUGGCGGCGUGCCUAAUACAUGCAAGUCGAGCGCAGGAAGCUGACGGAACUCUUCGGAGGGAAGGCAGUGGAAUGAGCGGCGGACGGGUGAGUAGCACGUAAGGAACCUACCUCAAGGAUUGGGAUAACUCCGAGAAAUCGGAGCUAAUACCGGAUAGUUCAACGGACCGCAUGGUCCGCUGAUGAAAGGCGCUCCGGCGUCACCUUGAGAUGGCCUUGCGGUGCAUUAGCUAGUUGGUGGGGUAACGGCCCACCAAGGCGACGAUGCAUAGCCGACCUGAGAGGGUGAUCGGCCACACUGGGACUGAGACACGGCCCAGACUCCUACGGGAGGCAGCAGUAGGGAAUCUUCCACAAUGGACGAAAGUCUGAUGGAGCAACGCCGCGUGAGUGAUGAAGGUUUUCGGAUCGUAAAACUCUGUUGUAAGGGAAGAACACGUACGAGAGGGAAUGCUCGUACCUUGACGGUACCUUACGAGAAAGCCACGGCUAACUACGUGCCAGCCGCCGCAGUAA